UACAGAGGUCCCAAGCGUUGUUCGGAUUCACUGGGUUUAAAGGGUGCGUAGGUGGGCAGUUAAGUCAGUGGUGAAAUCUCCGGGCUCAACCCGGAAACUGCCAUUGAUACUAUCUAUCUUGAAUAUCGUGGAGGUAAGCGGAAUAUGUCAUGUAGCGGUGAAAUGCUUAGAUAUGACAUAGAACACCAAUUGCGAAGGCAGCUUACUACCCGAAUAUUGACACUGAGGCACGAAAGCGUGGGGAUCAAACAGG
rnacentral:rRNA from 1 species